rnacentral:lncRNA from 1 species
GGCUUGGAAUGCAAUUUUGAAAGGAAUGCGGAAAAGUUGAAGUCGAAGGAAGACAAAGAGACAUGGAAGGUACACAGAACGUUUGCCUUCAUGGUUGCUUUUUUGGGGCGUAUAGUCUUUCCAUAAAGGGAAGGACGCAUUGACAUCCGUUUAGCAGGUAUAAUUGAGGCCCUGACCUCAAAAGAGCAUAAUUAUACCUUGG